AAGUCGUAACAAGGUCUCCGUAGGUGAACCUGCGGAGGGAUCAUUACUGAGUUCGGGGGCAAUCCCAGUCCCGACCUCCAACCCUUUGUGAACAAAUCUUGUUGCUUCGGGGGCGACCCUGCCGUUCGCGGCAUUCCCCCCGGAGGUCAUCAAAACACUGCAUUAUUACGUCGGAGUAAAAAGUUAAUUUAAUAAAACUUUCAACAACGGAUCUCUUGGUUCUG
rnacentral:misc_RNA from 1 species